AGAGCUGACCCUACUAGAAAAUAAGAUUGUACACGACUGGGUGAAGAAUUCCAUUGAGCUGCCUCCAGUCUUUUCUAGCCAUGGAAUGGAAGCAUGAACUUACAAAACAGGCCAUUGUGGACCAUCCUGGAUUUUGAAAAUGCUGGAAAGAGUCAGUGGAUGGAAGCUCUCUAAACCUUUGGACUGAUCUGUGUACAGCAUUGGUUUCUUGGCCUCCUGGAAAUCUGAGAAGUUUGCAUGUGAUGGGGAGGUUUGUAUCCUGCUUCCUUGGUUGAGCCCACUGGUCUAUCACAACCAUGAUGCUUCUGCCUGGAGGAAUGCAAAUACCACCUGGGUAAAGAUAAUAGGAUUGAGCACGACGACUCAUGCCUGUAAUCCCAGCACUUUGGGAGGCCCAAGCAGGUGAACUGCUUGAGCCCAGGAGUUCGAGGCCAGUCUGGGCAACAUGGCAAAACCCUGUCUCUA